CGCUGAAACACAAUUAUUAACGCCGAACUAGAAUCCCGCAGAUCUCAACCUCAAUUCGCGAUCCCUAUACUUUCUAAAGAAAUCCCCAAUUACUUUCUUUCCCUACUCAUGCUAUCAUUGCAGAUAGCAUAUCGAUUUAACGAAAUUACCAAUCAUGUCGAAGAUACAACUUCCGAUAGACUUGACUUAAGCUCCUUCUUGUUCAAAUCCAACCUUGGCACUGAGACUACGCUCCCAUUCCACACAAUCAUUUUGGUCCCGUUCGAACCGGAUUGCUGCGUUUAUUUGGAGACUUAUAUUGGGAAAUACUCGAGAGAGUUCAUCUUGUGACUUUGUCUCUCCAUUGUGACAAACACUGAAGCAGUUAACUAUGCGCCACAACAAAAACGAUCCUAGGAAAUCGAAGGGAGAUUUGCCUUAUGUUUGUAGAAUAUGUCGACACCCACAUGCACUAAGAAAAUGCAGCCGUUUUUUGGAUAUGAACAUAACCCAAAGGGAAAGUAUUGUGAAAACCUACGGAUACUGCGUCAAUUGUUUAGCUCACAACCAUUCCGAAGGUUCAUGUUUCACAAAAACAGGAUGUAAAAUAUGUCACCAGAAACACCAUACCCUUCUUCAUUCCCAUCCCAGAUGUCAAACUAGCAGCUCACCUCCCAGGCAAUCGGGGGACCGUUCUAAAACAGUUGAAACCGCAAAGAAGGAAGAGCUUUCUACACCUCCGAUGAGAUCAUACUCCAACUUAGAUCACACUUCGCUCUCUGCUCUUCUAAAGCAAAACGCUAUAACGUUGCUGCCUACAAUCCUGGUUAAGAUUUGCUGCCAAUCCGAAGAUAACGUUGUUAGGUGCCUUCUUGACUCCGGCUCUCGCUCAAGUUGCAUAACCUCCCGCAUUGUGGAAAAAUUACAUUUGGCCACUUUGGCACUAGAAGACGAAACCAUUUGUCCACUUACUAUGAUCUCUAUCCACGAUCACAACGUCCAAUUACAAACAAUCCUUAAAGUAAAAAAUCGCAUAUCCAUGCUUACUCCUAGCGAAUCAAUUCCAGCGUCUUUCCGAAAAAACUUUCGCAACAUCCUGUUAGCGGACACAGAAUUCUUUAAGUCGCGUUCCGUUGACAUAAUUCUGGGCAUCGAUAUUUACGCUCGGGUAAUCCGGGAAGGGAUCCUGAACAAAUAUGGGCUUCCCACUGCUCAAAACACUAUAUUUGGGUGGUCCCUUUAUGGGCUUUGUUCGAAGUAACUCAAUAAUUUAGAGCGCAAUCAGAUUUCCAACAAAAUAAUUGAAACCAUUUUCGCACUAGCAACUGAAUUGCAAAGAAUUAUAUGUAAACUAGCUACAGACCCUCAUUCGAUUUUAAGAAUUUUUUACUUAUAUGUAUAGCUAAUUUGUCUAUCCUUUUAAUGGCAUAAUUGAUUUUUUAUUUUCUGCUGAAUUAAUUUCAAACAUAAUUGGAAUAUAUGAAUGAAUUGAUAAUAUGUAUUAAAAUUUUGAAAUAACUUGAUUUAAAUUACAUUUCUUUAUCCUAAUCAUACACACCAUUCAGACAUUUAAAUUAUAUUUGGAUCUUGUAUAGUCGAUAUGAUUGGAAUGCAUUUAUUGCAGCCGUACUGCAAGGCGGGCGGCAAUGUUUACGCUGAAACACAAUUAUUAACGCCGAACUAGAAUCCCGCAGAUCUCAACCUCAAUUCGCGAUCCCUAUACUUUCUAAAGAAAUCCCCAAUUACUUUCUUUCCCUACUCAUGCUAUCAUUGCAGAUAGCAUAUCGAUUUAACGAAAUUACCAAUCAUGUCGAAGAUACAACUUCCGAUAGACUUGACUUAAGCUCCUUCUUGUUCAAAUCCAACCUUGGCACUGGUAAGAUCGUCUAUCAGCACCCAAAAUAAAAAUCCAUUUUUGUUCCAACAAUCCUAAUUCGGUGUUUUGUUUUCCUUUUCUAUUUCACCUGGGGUUUGCAAUCAUAAACCCAACUGGAGGAACAAGGCAGACAAAAUUCUCCAUAAUUUUGUCUUUGUUCUGACUUUGGCUCAUCGAGAUUUCAAUUCUUACUCCAGAGACUACG